AGAGUUUGAUCCUGGCUGAGAACGAACGCUGGCGGCGUGCUUAACACAUGCCAGUCGAACGCGAAAGGGGACUUCGGUCCCCCGGUAGAGUGGCGCACGGGUGAGUAACGCGUAGAUAAUCUACCCCUAUAUUUGGGAUAACAAUUCGAAAGGAUUGCUAAUACCGGAUACACUUAUUUGUACGCAAGUACGAGUGAGGAAAGGUGACCUCUUCUUGAAAGUUACUGUAUAGGGAUGAGUCUGCGUACCAUUAGCUAGUAGGUAGGGUAAAAGCCUACCUAGGCUACGAUGGUUAGCGGGUCUGAGAGGAUGAUCCGCCACACUGGAACUGGAACACGGACCAGACUCCUACGGGAGGCAGCAGUGAGGAAUAUUGCGCAAUGGGGGAAACCCUGACGCAGCGACGCCGCGUGGGUGAUGAAGGCCUUCGGGUUGUAAAGCCCUGUCAGGUGGGAAGAAGUGUACCAUGGCUAAUAUCCAUGGUAUUUGACGGUACCACCAAAGGAAGCACCGGCUAACUCCGUGCCAGCAGCCGCGGUAAUACGGAGGGUGCAAGCGUUGUUCGGAUUUACUGGGCGUAAAGGGCGCGUAGGCGGUUUUUUAAGUCGGAUGUGCAAUCCCCGAGCUCAACUUGGGAACUGCAUCCGAGACUGGAAGGCUAGAGUACUGGAGAGGUUGGUGGAAUUCCACGUGUAGCGGUGAAAUGCGUAGAGAUGUGGAGGAACACCAGUGGCGAAGGCGGCCAACUGGACAGUAACUGACGCUGAGGCGCGAAAGUGUGGGUAGCAAACAGGAUUAGAUACCCUGGUAGUCC
rnacentral:rRNA from 1 species